GUGAGUUCUUAACCCAGACCAUCAUUUCAUGAGGCUCCCAGGCUACGCUCACUUCACUCUUGGCUCCAUCCCUCACUCUUGGGACUUCCCCACCUCCUUACCAGAAGCUUUGCAGCCCUGCUCCCAUAAAGCAGCAAGCUGGUGGUUGUUGGUGGUGCAUAUUUCUUCCUUUCUUUCCCCUUUCCCCCACUUCCACCCCAAGGACACCCAAGGAGCCGUUGAGGAAACUUGUGACUUGAACGCUGUCUUCUGAGGUUCGAUCAAAUGCCAGGCAUGAUUCAAGCAUGAUCUUCUGUUCCUUUGGCACAUCUCUCUCUGAUGCCUGCUCUUCCACCCGUGCCAGCUAACUCCUGCUGCUGCCAUGACCCCCUGGUGGACACUGCAGCCACUCGCCUCCCAGGACCUCAUGACCUCCCAAAAUGCACUAGGUUGCUUGGAUUCAUCAUCAUCAUCAUCAUCAUCAUCAU